GCCGCCAUCGUCUAGUGGUCUAGGACGCAGCGUUCUCAACGCUGAGAUCGGGGGUUCGAAUCCCCCUGGCGGUACCA
rnacentral:tRNA from 1 species